rnacentral:tRNA from 1 species
GGGGGCGUGGCCGAGUGGUUAAGGCGUUGAACUGCUAACUCAAUUUACUUCGAAACCUGGCGUCGUCUUCC